rnacentral:rRNA from 1 species
GUGAGUAGUUCAGAGUUUGAUCCUGGCUCAGGAUGAACGCUGGCGGCGUGCCUAACACAUGCAAGUCGAGCGAGAAACCUGUAAUUGACGCUUCGGUAGAUUUUACAGGCGGAAAGCGGCGGACGGGUGAGUAACGCGUAGGCAACCUGCCCCAUGCACAGGGAUAGCCUCGGGAAACCGGGAUUAAAACCUGAUGAUACCGCAUUGUCACAUGACGGAGCGGUCAAAGAUUUAUCGGCAUGGGAUGGGCCUGCGUCUGAUUAGUUAGUUGGUGGGGUAACGGCUCACCAAGGCAAUGAUCAGUAGCCGACCUGAGAGGGUGAUCGGCCACAUUGGAACUGAGACACGGUCCAA